UACGGGGGGGGCAAGCGUUGUUCGGAAUUACUGGGCGUAAAGGGCUCGUAGGUGGCCAACUAAGUCAGACGUGAAAUCCCUCAGCUUAACUGGGGAACUGCGUCUGAUACUGGAUGGCUUGAGUGUGGGAGAGGGAUGCGGAAUUCCAGGUGUAGCGGUGAAAUGCGUAGAUAUCUGGAGGAACACCGGUGGCGAAGGCGGCAUCCUGGACCAAUACUGACACUGAGGAGCGAAAGCCAGGGGAGCAAACGGG
rnacentral:rRNA from 1 species